GCAAUGCCCAGAGAGGCUGAUGGGAACAGUGGCAAGCUCUGCCUUUGCUUACGUCAAAUGAAAGAAAGAGCCGUUAGUCCGUCUAGAACGAAACCGCACUCCCUGGCUUGAACAUGGUCGCAUGCGGUUGGACACAUGGAGGAGAGAAUCAUUUUCGCAGUAUCCUCAAAACCGUGUCUUUUUGACACAACUGCUGACAGCUACAGGGAUAUAAACACAAAAAAUGCUGCUUGGAGACAAGUGUCCACGAUAGUAGGAUUGCCAGAAAUGGAAUCAAUUUAGCCAAUCAGCUCACAGGAAGGAGAGGAAGAGGAGAGGAGUUGUCUGGUUGUUGUUUUGACCUCCCUCAUUGUACCUUUCUUUUCACACAUGUCAGUUCCAUUUAAAUUCAGUCAAUUCAUAAAGUAAUUUGUUUAUAAAGUCUUAGGAUAGCAUCCAUUAUUAGUGUUACAUAGAUUUCUGAAUUGACAGAAUUGAAACUCAUACACCGGAGAAUUGAGAUGCUCUUGUUGGUCUCUUACAAGACUAAAGGUCAAUUUACACUGCUCAAAAAAAUAAAGGGAACACUUAAACAACACAAUGUAACUCCAAGUCAAUCACACUUCUGUGAAAUCAAACUGUCCACUUAGGAAGCAACACUGAUUGACAAUAAAUGUCACAUGCUGUUGUGCAAAUGGAAUAGACAACAGGUGGAAAUUAUAGGCAAUUAGCAAGACAC
rnacentral:lncRNA from 1 species